rnacentral:rRNA from 1 species
GACGAACGCUGGCGGCGUGCUUAACACAUGCAAGUCGAACGAAGUGGCGAACGGGUGAGUAAUACGUGAGUAACCUGCCCUCCUUUUUGGGAUAAGCCUUGGAAACGGGGUCUAAUACCGCAUAAAGGGGGAUGGGCUCGCGGCCUAUCAGCGUGUUGGUGGGGUGAGGGCCUACCAAGGCGGUGACGGGUAGCCGGCCUGAGAGGGUGACCGGCGACAGUGGGACUGAUAUACGGCCUAGGGGAGGACGGGAGGGAGCAGUUGGGGAUAUUGCACAAUGGGCGAAAGCCUGAUGCCGCGACGCCGCGUGGGGUAUGAAGGUUUUAGGGUUGUAAACCUCUUUCGCUACCGAACGGGUAGGUGGAGAAGAAGCGCCGGCUAACUACGUGCCAGCAGCCGCGGUAAUUC